UACGGGGGGGGCAAGCGUUGUUCGGAAUUACUGGGCGUAAAGGGCUCGUAGGCGGCCAACUAAGUCAGACGUGAAAUCCCUGGGCUCAACCCAGGAACUGCGUCCGAGACUGGGAGGCUUGAAUCCGGGAGAGGGAUGCGGAAUUCCAGGUGUAGCGGUGAAAUGCGUAGAUAUCUGGAGGAACACCGGUGGCGAAGGCGGCAUCCUGGACCGGGAUUGACACUGAGGCGCGAAAGCCAGGGGAGCAAACGGG
rnacentral:rRNA from 1 species